ACAGUACAUGACUUAAAGUGAGUUAAUUAGCAAGCAUUACUUUGUGCCAAGUACUGAUC
rnacentral:pre_miRNA from 1 species